rnacentral:tRNA from 1 species
GGAUGGAUGGCCGAGUAGGUAAGGCCUCUGGUUCUGGCGGGCCAGAUGAUCGCGGGUUCGAACCCCGCUCCAUCGCACCA